CCAGUACGGAAACAGCCAGGGUAGGCGGGACGGAGCUCGCAGACAGAGAAAGCGGCGCUAUGCAAGGCCUGGUAUCACUCCGCUUCCGCGAGGCCGAAUCGCCUUCAACUCCCCUCGAGCUGCUCUCGCUGUCGCUUUUGGUUCUGGGGACGUGGAGAGACAAAGUCUGCGGAGGAAAAGGGCUCGGCACCCCUCGAGGCAAGGAAAUGAGAAAACUGCCUCUCAUCCAAGCAGAGCAGGUCCAACUUCACUGGCAGAUCUGGUGGCCUUGGAGUGGCUGAAGACCACCACCCUCCACAGGGCUGCGCUCAGGCACACAGCCAUCCUUCCCUUCCCCGAGUGAGCUUCCUCUGCACGUUGUUUAUAUCACUGGCAGAGCCUAUAGUUGGAAAGGGGGCUGAGUGACAACUGGACUUUGUAUGAAAACACCAACUUGGGAGAGACCUUCAGUCAAGGCUGAGACGGGGGUGGGGAUACAUAACUUGGCCUUGCCUUUAACUUGGAUCAUGACUGGCUUCGAGGCUAAGGCAAGGGCAGAGGAGGGGCUGGGGCUGGCCUGAAAGCUGGAAUCAGUGGCCCUGCCAACACUAGAGCCAAGGCUAAGAUCCAAGCCAAGGCAGUGGCUGAGGCAGAAUCGGAAACAGGACCAGUGACCCAGGCCAAGCCUGGGGAUGGAGCAGUGGCCAGGACACAGGCAGUGACCUACGCUGAGGCCGUGCCU
rnacentral:lncRNA from 1 species